rnacentral:rRNA from 1 species
UACGGAGGGGGCGAGCGUUGUUCGGAAUCACUGGGUGUAAAGGGUGCGUAGGCGGUCCGAUAAGUCUGAUGUGAAAGCCCACGGCUCAACCGUGGAGGGUCAUUGGAAACUGGGGGACUUGAGUGCAGGAGAGAAGAGUGGAAUUCCACGUGUAGCGGUGAAAUGCGUAGAGAUGUGGAGGAACACCAGUGGCGAAAGCGGCUUCCUGGACCAGUACCGACGUUCAGGCACGAAAGCGUGGGGAGCAAACAGG